GUAUGGUUAUCUUUACAAGGAGGUAUAGUCUCUAUUUUCCUUGACGUCUCCUCUACCUCUUUUAUGUCUUUUUCAGAGUUGGAUUACAGUUUUCUGGUAUAUGGAGAAAACUUUGAAAGAGCAGAAAUCAACGGAGAGAAGCUACUUAACAUCACUCGGCAAAAACUUAGUGAACUCGGUGUAAUCCGAACUGACCAUCAGGAUAUCAUAUUAAAAGCAGUUGCUGAUAUUUACAAAAAAGACAAAUCUGAAGAGGCAGCUAUGCAAGGAGAAGAUCAGAAUGACAAAAAGAUGCCUACCAGAUUCAGAAAACAAAGUGAACAUCUUGAGCAUGCUAUUGAUCAUGUGCUUGUCCUGAUAUCGGAAAGAAGAAGGGCGCGUACUCUACAUGGCACUAAUGAACAACCACCUCGUAACAUUCUUACAGCUGCUCUUGAACUGAUUAAUAUGGUCAAGAUGAUACUAAACAUUCUGGAAAGGUAAUUCCUAAUAUCUGAACUGUAAAGCCUUAAGAUAGUUGGAUUUUUCUCUCUUUCUCCCUCUUCAGAAAACUUAUUUAUGGAUUGGAUUUUAUU
rnacentral:lncRNA from 1 species